AUGCUCCUUGAACAUUUAUUAAUAAUCUUGUGGAUGCAGCUGACAUGGGUCAGUGGUCAACAGCUGAAUCAGAGUCCUCAAUCUAUGUUUACCCAGGAAGGAGAAGAUGUCUCCAUGAACUGCACUUCUUCAAGCAUAUUUAACACCUGACUAUGGUACAAGCAGGACCCUGGGGAAGGUCCUGUCCUCUUGAUAGCCUUAUAUAAGGCUGGUGAAUUGACCUCAAAUGGAAGACUGACUGCUCAGUUUGGUAUAACCAGAAAGGACAGCUUCCUGAAUAUCUCAGCAUCCAUACCUAGUGAUGUAGGCAUCUACUUCUGUGCUGGGCAG